rnacentral:lncRNA from 1 species
UCCCAAUACAGAUGCCUUAGAUGCCUUAAUAACUGCCUUGGAUGAUAAUAGUAACUCAAACAAAAAUUCCAACCGUUGAAGUUCUGGUGCCAACAAAUUUUUUUACUAUUUAUGGACGGUAAAGUAUCGUGGAUCUAUGGAGAAACAUGUCACAAAAGAAUCGUGGAUCUUUAUAGAAAACAUCGCUGUGAAUACAAUUU